rnacentral:rRNA from 1 species
UACGUAGGGGGCAAGCGUUGUCCGGAAUCAUUGGGCGUAAAGCGCGCGUAGGCGGCUCUGUAAGUCCGUUGUGAAAGUCAAAGGCUCAACCUUUGAAAGCCGAUGGAUACUGCAGGGCUAGAGUCCGGAAGAGGAGAAUGGAAUUCCCGGUGUAGCGGUGAAAUGCGCAGAUAUAGGAAGGAAUACCAGUGGCGAAGGCGGCCUCCUGGAUCGAUACUGACGCUGAGGCGCGAAAGCGUGGGGAGCAAACAGG